rnacentral:rRNA from 1 species
GAACGAACGCUGGCGGCAGGCCUAACACAUGCAAGUCGAACGAGUAAGAGCCGUAGCAAUACGGAGUUCUGCUAGUGGCGCACGGGUGAGUAACGCGUGGGAACGUGCCUUGGAGUUCGGGAUAACAGUUGAAACGACUGCUAAUACCGAAUAUUCCCUCAGGGGGGAAAGAUUUAUCGCUCCAAGAUCGGCCCGCGUAAGAUUAGGUAGUUGGUGGGGUAAUGGCCUACCAAGCCUACGAUCUUUAGCUGGUCUGAGAGGACGACCAGCCACACUGGAACUGAGACACGGUCCAGACUCCUACGGGAGGCAGCAGUGGGGAAUAUUGGACAAUGGGCGAAAGCCUGAUCCAGCCAUGCCGCGUGAAUGAUGAAGGCCUUAGGGUUGUAAAAUUCUUUUGCAGGGGAAGAUAAUGACGGUACCCUGCGAAUAAGCUCCGGCUAACUUCGUG